UAGUGCGUGUAAUUGCCGACGGUGACGGCGUCGCGCGCUGCACCCGUGCAACCGCGCCUCCCGUCCUACCCGUGGACGGGUGUCCGCGCGCUGCCACGCCCCGCGUCGCGCGUCGCACGCCGUCCGAGGCGAGCGACGGCUCCCCGCGCGUCACCGCCCCGCGCGCCUCAAGCCUACCGGCCCGCGACGUCGACGCCGCCGACGACGCGCUCGCCCGCGGUGAUGACGGCGGUGUCGGCGUCGGACGCGGGGAACGCCGACGGGCCGCAUCCGGCGGUGCCACCUCCGGCGACUCCGCCCCGUGCAGAGUCUCGUAGUGGGUCCGUACUUUUUUCAAAGGGUACGCACCCGUACCCGUGUACCCACACGCAGAACACCUGUACGUGACGGAGUCGUCGGGGUGGAACUUCUUCUGGUGCUUUGCCAGAUGCAGCCUGUCGACGUAGGAUCCCCGCGCCCUUUGUCCAGGUACGUCCCUCCCGAAGCACCUCGGGCAGGUUACCCUGUCCGGGAGCGGGAACGGGAUGACGACCUGGACGGGCGACACCGACAUUUCGCUAAAAUAUAGUAAUAAAAAUUAAAUUGAAAUUUUAACCGCCGCCCGGCGAGAUAAACAAAUCCCGCUCGCAAGGUCGCGAUCACGUGCGCACCGAGUGUCGUCCGCAACGGUUUCUCGCGGCAGUGCAACGAUCAGUGCGCGGAGUGAGGGUGCAAUCCGCACCCACCGACCGAUGCACCGCGUUGGGAAAAGGUCGCUUCACCCGCUACUCGAGUGCCGCUUCUGUUCGCGACCCGGAGAGCGAGAAAUUGCUUUGACAAGCUUCUCACCCCGUCGGUCGCGGGCACCGAGACGGCUCUCGUACGCUACGCCUCCACCGAUCGGCCCAGCGACCGCGGAGUGUCCGCGACCGAUGAACCUCGCGGGGGAGGUUUCGCCCUAACCGAGUGUCCGCCUGCGGUGAUGUUCCACGAACGACCGGGCGAGAAACAAGCGUGCGAAGGUCACGGCGCGGGACGGCCGGCGCCCGUCAGCGAGCACCUCCCGUCCGCUUCGCAACGGCCCCGGUAUAGCGUAUGGUGCAGUGCCGCGCUCGGUGACCGGUGUUCCGCGUAGUGGAGGGCACGCGUCACUCGGGACGCCAAGUCCCGUCCCGAUCCGCGACCCCGCGGCCGAGCGGCGGACGCGACAAAACGCGCGCGACGGGCGAGCGCGCGCCGACGGUGGCAGCGAAGACGGACGUAUACCCGCUGACCCCCGGCACGCCGUCCACAAACAUCCAUCGACAGAGCCAGUAUAGUCGCCACUCCUCGCCUCCAGGAUAUCAGCGCAAGAAGGUAAAUACAGACGCGGAAUCGCACGAGGCAAUCGCCUUCCCUGAACGAAGAUCAAAUUUUCUUUCUAUACAUGUGGUCGACAGGGGAGGCAACGCGCGCGAGCCCUGGACAACGGAGUACCGUAAUUUUGAAGUACCCAAAGCUCAGAGAGCCGAGAAGCGAUGCUUUACAACUGCUACGUUCGCAUUUUAUCCUCUCCGAAUCGCUAAUUCGAGUAUGCCAAUGCCAUCGGGCGCCACGUAGCGGCGAUAGUUGUUAGUACAACGUACGUUUAACUGCUGAAAGAGGGCUGUAGUGAUUCGUGUAUCGAGAUAAUAAUAUGUAAUAAUGAUAAUAUAAUAAUAUUUUUCCCUAUA